rnacentral:tRNA from 2 species
GUGGGUAUAGCUCAGUUGGCUAGAGCGCCACGUUGACAUCGUGGAGGUCAGCGGUUCAAGUCCGUUUACCCACACCA